ACGUAGGGUGCGAGCGUUGUCCGGAUUUAUUGGGCGUAAAGAGCUCGUAGGCGGCUCGUCGCGUCGACCGUGAAAUCCCGCAGCUUAACUGCGGGCUUGCGGUUGAUACGGGCGGGCUAGAGUUCGGUAGGGGAGACUGGAAUUCCUGGUGUAGCGGUGAAAUGCGCAGAUAUCAGGAAGAACACCCGUGGCGAAGGCGGCUCUCUGGGACGGUGCUGACGCUGAGACGCGAAAGCGUGGGGAGCGAACAGGA
rnacentral:rRNA from 1 species